rnacentral:rRNA from 1 species
UGAUUAUUAAAUAGCCGCAGUACUCUGACUGUGCAAAGGUAGCAUAAUCAGUUGGCUUUUAAUUGGAGUCUGGUAUGAACGAACACAUGGGUGGCGACUGUCUAAAUAUAUUUUUCCUAACUUUUUAAUCAAGUGAAAAUACUUGUGCUAAUAAAAAAGACGAGAAGACCCUAGAAACUUGAAAAGUUUUUUGUUGGGGCGACAGAGUUACAUGUAACUAAUUUUAUUAAACAUGACAUUAAUUAGAAAGGAUAAGUUACUCUAGGGAUAACAGCAUAAUUUUAAUAGUUUGUGACCUCGAUGUUGGAUUAGGUACUAUACCCUUUAGGCAAGGGUAUAAGAUGCUCUGUUCGAGCAAAUACACCUACAUGAUCUGAGUUCAGACCGG